rfam:Myotis davidii contig199953, whole genome shotgun sequence.
GGUGGUUCUCGGGUGAUGCAUCCUGGAAUCGAGCUCCCUCCUCUCUGGUUCUGGGUGCGUCACCUGAGAACCACA